rnacentral:rRNA from 1 species
GGAAUCUUGGACAAUGGGCGCAAGCCUGAUCCAGCCAUGCCGCGUGAGUGACGAAGGCCUUAGGGUUGUAAAACUCUUUCGUCGGGGACGAUAAUGACGGUACCCGAAGAAGAAGCCCCGGCUAACUUCGUGCCAGCAGCCGCGGUAAUACGAAGGGGGCUAGCGUUGUUCGGAAUUACUGGGCGUAAAGCGCACGUAGGCGGAUUGUUUAGUGAGGGGUGAAAUCCCAGGGCUCAACCCUGGAACUGCCUCUCAUACUGGCAAUCUCGAGUCCGGAAGAGGUGAGUGGAAUUCCGAGUGUAGAGGUGAAAUUCGUAGAUAUUCGGAGGAACACCAGUGGCGAAGGCGGCUCACUGGUCCGGUACUGACGCUGAGGUGCGAAAGCGUGGGGAGCAAAC